AUACUUAACUGGCAGGGGAGAUACCAAGAUCAAGAAGAUGGUUUUCCCAGGGAGAGUCUUACCCAUUUCACUUUGGAUGUGCUGACCCCUGCAAUUUCCCAAAAUGUGGGAAAGUUGACUGUGUAAUUUGUGGUAGUGGGGUACUGCAUUCAUGCUCUCCCCAG